AUUUUCUCUUUACCUAAAAUGCUUUCACUUCCAUUUGUGGUGUAGUGAGGUGAGAAGCUUCUUGUCACCUGAGCUCUGCUUCAUCUGACACUGACUUCUUAGGUGGCCCAGAAAAAUCCCUGAACUUUUUGCUUGAAUCUCAGCUGACAAAUGGGAAGAUGUCUGAGGAGGAGCAAACCUGCGCAUCUGAGACUCUGAGGACAGACUGAGAGUUCCAGAUUUCAGAUGAUUCAUCUGGCCUGAAAGACGUGUCUAGAAACUUGCUAUGAUUUAUAGCAGUUAAUAUACUUUUGGUGGUAAUAAAGUGGCUUGAUCAGGUUCUGCUCUUCUGUUG
rnacentral:lncRNA from 1 species